UGUGCCCUACGGGGGGCAGUAGUGGGGGAUAUUGCACAAUGGGGGGAACCCUGAUGCAGCGACGCCGCGUGGGUGAAGAAGCGCCUCGGCGCGUAAAGCCCUGUCAGCAGGGAAGAAAAUGACGGUACCUGAAGAAGAAGCCCCGGCUAACUACGUGCCAGCAGCCGCGGUAAUACGGAGGAUGCGAGCGUUAUCCGGAUUUAUUGGGUUUAAAGGGUGCGUAGGCGGAACAUUAAGUCAGCGGUAAAAUCGAGGGGCUCAACCCCUUUAAGCCGUUGAAACUGGUGAUCUUGAGUGGGCGAGAG
rnacentral:rRNA from 1 species